CUGCUUCCAAAAAGGAAAAGAGAAGAUUUAUAAUCUGAAUAGAUUAGAGUUUCAUAAAGCACAAUGAAGCAUGCAACAGGCUCUGUUAAAAAAAAUAAAUAAAUAAGGCACCAUGCAUGUAUUCUGCUGCCAACUCGCGAUUAUUCAUGUUAGGAAGGAAAGCAGAUGGGGGAAGUCCAAAAAAUGGCCAUAGGAACAAGUCUGGGCUCACCAGCUGUUGGAAGACUCUUCAUAUGGAACAGAGGUAAGCUACUCCCACUGAAGCCAACCAAACAACCCAGUUGCAAAACUGCCUGGCAGUAGACUGAAGAUGAACAAAUGAAUCUAGUGCAGACUAGAAGAGCCAAUUAGCUGAACCCAGCUCACAUUUCUAACCAACAGAAUUAUAAGACUAGACCCAUGCCUACAUCUGAAUCAAACUAAAAGGAAAGAUGGAACUGGCCUCUGAAAUUCCUGACUUUGUCACACAGAGAAAGUGUGUUCUGAAAGAAAGGCACAUUUGUAACCCCCAGACAACAGUUUAAGAGCACGUUCUUUGGCUGCAUCUAUAGUUGCAUAAACAUCCUUCCCCUCAUGGUCCAUUAGCUUCCAGGAAAUGAGCGAAGGAUCUGGCAACUGUCUUUCACUUGAUCUUUGUUUCUCUCAAAUGAAGGAAAGAAGCAUCACAAGAUAUAGUCAGUCACCCGGCCUCUUCCAAUAUGAAAACCUCAUAUGAAAUAUGGGGAUUUUCCUUCUUUAUUUUAGUUUUAUUAAUAGUGACAGAGCCCAUUCAAGAGAGAAAGACAACCCACUCCUUCCCCCAACUCUUCCCCAUCCUCUCUAGGAAGAAAUAAAUAUUUUCCACCAGGGGAGAAGAGAAAAGCCCUGGGCUUUUUGUUGCUGUUGCUUAGUGAAGGUUUCAUCCCAGGUGCUGAUUUAGGGUGUUCACAGUUGUGCAUAAAAUUGGAAGAGAGAGACUCUGUGUGUGUUUUUAAAGUUGGAGGAUGAUGAGGACUUGGAGGGAGGUGAGGGAGGAAACACAGUUGAUCUGGCAUGGUUUUCUGUAGUUUGACCUGACACUGGGCAGGUUUUCAAUAAGCAUUUCCUUCAUUCCCACUGCAUACCCCAAUGAAUAUGCUGCAAAGGCACAAGGGGUGUGGUCUGCGAGCCCAGGAACAACAUUGAACAAAAGUCUUUGCCAGGCAACUGCCUCGCUUUUACUCAACAGAGAACUUCUUGUUAUGGGCACUCAAGUCCUACCAACAAAGCCAGUCUCUAAGUAGGAGAAACUGUGUCCAUCCAGAGCAGCCCCUUGCCUGGUGACCACUCAAUAGGGAUGAUGAAUGACUUUCUACAAAAAUUUAACCCAUUGGUGUCCAGAUAUCCUACGCAGGAUCCUAGAAACCAAGUCUGCUUUUUGCCAACAAACCAGGUGUGAAGUCCUUGCCUCUAAGGUCCUGGUUCCUGUGCAAUAUUCAGGCUACCUGCAUAUCAAUAGUCCUAGUUAUAAUGAUUCCAUGGACAGCUUUUGGGAUAAAGUACCAACAGUACACGCAUUGCCACUUCUACCAUAUUUUAUUGGCUAAAACAAAGUAAAAGCCAAGCCAGAAUUCAAGGAGCAGUAAAACAGAUUCUGUGUCUUGAUGGGAAGAACCCCCACAUCACAUUGCCAAGAGUGUAGACACAGAAAGAUGUGAAGCAUUGGGCCCAAUUUGCGAUCAAUCUACCACACUGGGUGUGAUGGAGAAUUCUAGCUGUUCAUCAAAAUCCACUCUCCUUCUUCCAUAGCAAAAGAACUGCAGCCAUCCAUGUAGAUUACAUUGCACAGUGUCUUUUGCAACUCAGUGUGACCUAGGUGACUAUGUUCUCAUCGUGGACUAACUUUUCACUAACGGAAUGUGAGCAGAAGCGACAGCUGCCACUUAAGAUAUCUGAGAAUAUCUCCUGGGAGGCUAUAUUCCAUCCUUUUGUCAGCUGGAAUCUUGAUGUAGCAACAAACCUAGCAUCAUUUUACUUAUGCAGCUGAUGACUAUGUCCCUGGAGAUGGCAGAUUAACAACUUACAAGAAACUUGGGUUCCCAAACGACCAAGAGAAGCAGAGCUUUGUUCCUGACCUGAAUUGCUCACAUCAGAAGUAAUAUGCAAAAGAGAAAUAUAUUUUUGUUCUUUAAACUGCUGGGUCACAGCCUACCCUCCCCUAACAAAUACAACAGGACAACGGAAGGCACAGUCUCCACUCAUUUAGAAAACAAGGUCAAUGAAUACUUCACUCUGAUAUUUUGUGGAAAGAAUCCAAAGUCAGUCCUAAUCCCUCGCUCCUCAGCCCCUCCAUGGCUCACAGCCUCAGAGGGAAAAAUAAAGCAAUGAUCUGAGUACUUACUUGUUAAGAGGAUUUGGGUUAGGAAUGUGGGGAGGAGAAAUCUCACUCCCUGUAAACACUUUGUAAAUAUACUCAUUCUUACUAGCAUUUUUUCAUCUAAUGAACCCACAUGACACAUUUUAACCUUUGCCUGAGGUACUUCUGAUCAUAAUUGUAAGGGCUUCCUAUCAGUGGAGCAUUGAAAUUCUGACAUUACUGCUCCUUGAAAGAGGACGGGCCACCCCUAUCUUUCCCUCCCAGCUGGUAUCUCUGAAAAUAUUAAGGAAUGGUGGAAAUUGAGUUGAAGAGUGAUCAGAGCUUUCAAAUUAAGGGGUACAUCAUUAUUGAACCUUAGAGGAGCCUGCAACUAAAAAGAAGGACCACAUGGCUCCUCUACUUUACAGUCUUCAAAGAAUUUCUUGUCUCUUUUAAAAUUAAAUCUAAAACCUUUGCCAAGAGCUAUUAAUACAAGUCCCUGAAUGAUCUGGCCAUUUGUGCCUGCACAGCCUCAUCUCAUCCACACAUCCCCUGGUUGCUGCUUUUCUCUGCUUCCGCUGGCAUACUCCCUGUUUCUCUGUUGCAUUUAGUUUCCUCUGCACACCUCUCUGCCUGGACAGUUUUCUCCAAAUUCUCUGCCUAAGUCCUAUCUUUGUUUCUCAUCAAAGCUACAAUGUCAGUUCCUCUGGGAAGUUUUUCCUGACCCCUCAGACCAGGAUAGAGCCCUCUGUCUACUUUCUGAUAGGACCUUUCCUAC